CCUACGGGAGGCAGCAGUGGGGAAUUUUGGACAAUGGGCGAAAGCCUGAUCCAGCAAUGCCGCGUGAGUGAAGAAGGCCUUCGGGUUGUAAAGCUCUUUUGUCAGGGAAGAAACGGUGAGAGCUAAUAUCUCUUGCUAAUGACGGUACCUGAAGAAUAAGCACCGGCUAACUACGUGCCAGCAGCCGCGGUAAUACGUAGGGUGCAAGCGUUAAUCGGAAUUACUGGGCGUAAAGCGUGCGCAGGCGGUUUUGUAAGUCUGAUGUGAAAUCCCCGGGCUCAACCUGGGAAUUGCAUUGGAGACUGCAAGGCUAGAAUCUGGCAGAGGGGGGUAGAAUUCCACGUGUAGCAGUGAAAUGCGUAGAUAUGUGGAGGAACACCGAUGGCGAAGGCAGCCCCCUGGGUCAAGAUUGACGCUCAUGCACGAAAGCGUGGGGAGCAAACAGGAUUAGGUACCCUGGUAGUCCACGCCCUAAACGAUGUCUACUAGUUGUCGGGUCUUAAUUGACUUGGUAACGCAGCUAACGCGUGAAGUAGACCGCCUGGGGAGUACGGUCGCAAGAUUAAAACCGUUAAGGAAUUGACGGCGUGAGACGAGACGACGACGACGACGAGGGAGGAGG
rnacentral:rRNA from 1 species